UCCCUGGUAGUAUAUCGGUUAGUACACGCGCCUGUCAUCUUUCGAAGGUGCGCGCGAAAGCGGGGUUCGACUCCCCGCCAGGGAG
rnacentral:tRNA from 1 species